ensembl:misc_RNA 7SK 7SK RNA
AGUUCACCCUCACAUCCACGAUUAUCUGUUGCCCCAUUGAUUGCCAGGGCUGAUUCAGCUGAUCUGGAAGGCUAGGUGGGUGUCCCUUUCCUCCCUUACCUCUUGCGUCCUUCCCAAAGCUGUGGACUUGGUCUGUGGAAGAGGAGGAUUGUUUCCUUGGUCAAGGGUAUACGAGUAGCUGAGCUCCCCUGCUAGAACCUCCUAACAAGCUCUCAAAAAGUCAUGAUGGUACAUUUUAGGUUAUAUAUAUUUUAUUACAAUAAAAACUCAUUCAAUCUUAGUUAAAAUU